AGGGCAGAAGAAAAUGGAAAACAAAGACAAACAAACCAAAGAAGGCGGAUGAAGUAGAAGCCAUUCAUUCUUUCCAUGAACAUUGACCCUAUAUCCUGAAGGUGGAUCCAAUGAAAAAAGAGAAGCAGCAAGAGUGGCUUCUGUUUCCCUGGCUGGACUCUGAGUAAUAUAGCAGCAAUAAUUUCCCAAGGGAAAGGAGGAAGACGGGUUGGCUCCAAUGAAGACACUUAUGAUGUGAAGAGUUCCCGUAACAGUUCACCAUCUCUGGGGCAGUUAUACAACAGGGAUCCCUGACUUCUUCAGAACCGAGAGUUCAAAUCAGGACUAUCUGGUGAUGAAUCUAUCCACUAGAAGCUG